rnacentral:ncRNA from 1 species
UGGAACUACUAGUGAGACUUCAAAUCAGAGAACCUGGAAUUAAUAAAAUGGCAAUCCUGAGCCAACUCCGUUUCAAUAACAAGAUAGUGCAGAGACUCAAUGGAAGCUAUUCUAACAAAUGUCGUUGACUUCGUUGCAUUGUUAUAAGAAUUCAUCCUCCAAAAGAUGAAGGAAGAACGUAUAUACAUAUGUAUACGUACUGAAAGUAAUACUAUACUGUAUCGAAAAAUAAUUAAUGAUGACCGAAUACAUUUUUUCAUAUUCAUAAAAAAUGGAGAAUUGUUGUGAUGUGAAUUGAUUCCAAGUUGAAGAAAGAAUCGAAUAUGAAUUUAUGAAAUUCAAAUGAAAAAUUACCCGUGUCUGAUAGAUCUUUGAAGAACCGAUCAAUUGGAUGAGAAUGAAGAUAGAGUCCCAUUCUACAUGUCAAUACCGGCAAGAAUGAAAUUUAUAGUAAGAGGAAAAUCCGUCGACUUUAUAAAUCGUGAGGGUUCAAGUCCCUCUAUCCCCAAAAAAGCUUG